GCACUGCUGAAGAGUCCCAUACUAGGACGAAACGGCCGUCCGGUGC
rfam:Schistosoma haematobium scaffold286_44, whole genome shotgun sequence.